rnacentral:lncRNA from 1 species
CCUGAUUGUAGCUCAAGCUGCAGCCUCUAAACCUGCUAAAAAUCAGGAAGAAACCCCUCCUCUGGAGGGCAGAUGGACUGAAGUGGCUACAGCCAGUGUGGGUACGGAAAGCCUCCCGCUGAACUGUGAUCAUGUGACACCUGCAGACCCUGGGAAGGGCUGAUCUGAAUCCUGGCAGCAAACUCAACCUCUUCUUUUGCUUGGGGGGCUUGUGUUUAAUACAGGUCAUUGCGAUGGAAGAAGUCUCAGAGUCUCUCUCACAUCAAGAGGACAGAUGGGGACAGGGAUCCUGGAGCUUUUCUUCUCCUGUGUUCUGGUUGCAUACUUGAAUCCCAGGAAACAGUGUGACACGGUGCCAAUUUACUGCCAAACAUGCCCGGUUUGUCAACAGAGCCAGACAAGGAGGAGAGGAGAGAUUCAUGCCCCAAACACAGGCCAGCUGAGGAGGGCUUCGUCCUCCUUCCUUUGGCCCAGAUGAGGGAGCGCCUUCCCAGAAGUCACAUGAGGAAAAACCGUGCUCAGCUUCUUGAACGGAGAAUGUCCAC